UACGUAGGGGGCAAGCGUUGUCCGGAAUUAUUGGGCGUAAAGAGCUCGUAGGCGGUCCUUUAAGUCGGAAGUGAAAUCUCAGGGCUCAACCCUGAAAUUGCUUUCGAUACUGGCGGACUUGAGGCAGGUAGGGGAGAGCGGAAUUCCUGGUGUAGCGGUGAAAUGCGCAGAUAUCUGGAGGAACACCGGUGGCGAAGGCGGCUCUCUGGGCCUGUACUGACGCUGAGGAGCGAAAGCGUGGGGAGCGAACAGG
rnacentral:rRNA from 1 species